AUACAAAUCACCUGGGGAUCCUGUUAAAAUGCAGGGUUUGAUGUAGAAGCUCUGGGUGGCUGGGCCUGGAAUUCUACAUUUCUAAUAAGUUCUCAGGUGAUAUCCAC
rnacentral:pre_miRNA from 1 species